GUAAACAUAGUUUAAAAAAAUACGCUAGAUUGUGAUUCUAGAGAUAGAAGUUAAAAUCUUCUUGUUCACC
rnacentral:tRNA from 1 species